rnacentral:lncRNA from 1 species
CAAAAACAAGGAUGGUUACUAUCAUUACUUCUAUCAACAUUGAACUGGAAGUUCUACCCAUUUCAAUAAAGAAAAAAAAUAGGAGGAAUCAAGGCCCUGGGGCCGAUGCCACAGUGAUUACAUGUCAGCAUGGGAUCGACGCCCUGCUCCUGGGCUGUGCCCCAGCCAGCCAGCCUCCAGACACAGCCCAGCUCGGCCAAGGCAAGCCCGGGAACCCACACGUGCACCAUGUGCCAUCCUGCCUUGGCCCUUUGUUUGGCCAUUCCCCUCCUGGAAAUGCCCUGAC